rnacentral:tRNA from 1 species
GGGGCUGUAGCUCAGUUGGGAGAGCGCCGCAAUCGCACUGCGGAGGUCAGGGGUUCGAAUCCCCUCAGCUCCA